rnacentral:misc_RNA from 1 species
GGGAGGCAAAGAAUUUAAUCCAUGCGGCGAAGGUUCACAAGCUCAUCUUAACUCAACUGUGUACAAUAAAGGACUAUAAUAUCUGCAAUCUGUUAGCAUGGUUUUCAAAAUGCCUGAUGUCAGUCGAUGAACAGCCAUUCCAAGAAGUCAAAUCAAUGAUGCCAAAUAAUUUAAAGGAGUAUACUGUGAAGGCCCUUCUUCAACUGCAUAUUCAUCUCCAAGAUAAGAAUAGAAAGUAAAAUGAAAGCCACCAGCCACCCACAUUCAAACAGAAUCAAUAAAAGAACCCAAAGAUCCCAUCCCACACUGCCCAACUGAUAUUGUAAGUUGUUCAUCACUUGAUCGAUUCAGUUUGCAACAAAGACGUCGUGGAACCAAAUGCCAAUUCUUUGUUGCAGCAUACCCCAACACCUGAAUAUUUUCCACAUAA